rnacentral:rRNA from 1 species
AUUGAACGCUGGCGGCAGGCCUAACACAUGCAAGUCGAACGAGUGGCGGACGUGUGAGUUAUGUCUGGGACACUGCCCGAUGGAGGGGGAUAACUACUGGAAACGGUAGAAAAUACCGCAUACCAUCGGAUGUGCACAGAUGGGAUUAGCUGGUUGGUGGGGUAACGGCUCACCUAGGAGACGAUCCCUAGCUGGUCUGAGAGGAUGACCAGCCACACUGGAACUGAGACACGGACCAGACUCCUACGGGAGGCAGCAGUGGGGAAUAUUGCACAAGGGGCGCAAGCCUGAUACAGCCAUGCCGCGUGUAUGAAGAAGGCCUUAGGGUUGUAAAGUACUUUCAGCGGGGAGGCGUUACCCGCAGAAGAAGCACCGGCUAACUCCGUGCCAGCAGCCGCGGUAAUAC